rnacentral:rRNA from 1 species
GUCGAACGCGUCUUGGUCAAUGAAGUUGAGUGCUUGCAUUUAACUGAUUUGACAUUAAGACGAGUGGCGAACUGGUGAGUAACACGUGGGUAACUUGCCCCGAAGCGGGGGAUAACAUUUGGAAACAGGUGCUAAUACCGCAUAACAACAAAAACCACAUGGUUUUUGUUUAAAAGAUGGUUUCGGCUAUCACUUUGGGAUGGACCCGCGGCGUAUUAGCUAGUUGGUGAGGUAAUGGCUCACCAAGGCAAUGAUACGUAGCCGACCUGAGAGGGUAAUCGGCCACAUUGGGACUGAGACACGGCCCAAACUCCUACGGGAGGCAGCAGUAGGGAAUCUUCCACAAUGGACGAAAGUCUGAUGGAGCAACGCCGCGUGAGUGAUGAAGGGUUUCGGCUCGUAAAACUCUGUUGUUGGAGAAGAACGGGUGUCAGAGUAACUGUUGACAUCGUGACGGUAUCCAACCAGAAAGCCACGGCUAACUACGUGCCAGCAGCCGCGGUAAUACGUAGGUGGCAAGCGUUGUCCGGAUUUAUUGGGCGUAAAGCGAGCGCAGGCGGUUUUUUAGGUCUGAUGUGAAAGCCUUCGGCUUAACCGGAGAAGUGCAUCGGAAACCGGGAGACUUGAGUGCAGAAGAGGACAGUGGAACUCCAUGUGUAGCGGUGAAAUGCGUAGAUAUAUGGAA